CAUGCAAGUCGAACGGAAGUUUAAGCAAUUAAACUUUAGUGGCGAACGGGUGAGUAACGCGUAAGCAAUCUGCCCCUAAGACGAGGAUAACAGUUGGAAACGACUGCUAAGACUGGAUAGGAGACAAGAAGGCAUCUUCUUGUUUUUAAAAGACCUAGCAAUAGGUAUGCUUAGGGAGGAGCUUGCGUCACAUUAGUUAGUUGGUGGGGUAAAGGCCUACCAAGACUAUGAUGUGUAGCCGGGCUGAGAGGUUGAACGGCCACAUUGGGACUGAGACACGGCCCAAACUCCUACGGGAGGCAGCAGUAGGGAAUUUUCGGCAAUGGAGGAAACUCUGACCGAGCAACGCCGCGUGAACGAUGAAGUAUUUCGGUACGUAAAGUUCUUUUAUUAGGGAAGAAUAAAUGAUGGAAAAAUCAUUCUGACGGUACCUAAUGAAUAAGCCCCGGCUAACUAUGUGCCAGCAGCCGCGGUAAUACAUAGGGGGCAAGCGUUAUCCGGAAUUAUUGGGCGUAAAGGGUGCGUAGGCGGUUAAAUAAGUUUAUGGUCUAAGUGCAAUGCUCAACAUUGUGAUGCUAUAAAAACUGUUUAGCUAGAGUAAGAUAGAGGCAAGUGGAAUUCCAUGUGUAGUGGUAAAAUGCGUAAAUAUAUGGAGGAACACCAGUAGCGAAGGCGGCUUGCUGGGUCUUUACUGACGCUGAGGCACGAAAGCGUGGGGAGCAAACAGGAUUAGAUACCCUGGUAGUCCACGCCGUAAACGAUGAGUACUAAACGUUGGUUAAAACCAGUGUUGAAGUUAACACAUUAAGUACUCCGCCUGAGUAGUACGUACGCAAGUAUGAAACUUAAAGGAAUUGACGGGACUCCGCACAAGCGGUGGAUCAUGUUGUUUAAUUCGAAGGUACCCGAAAAACCUCACCAGGUCUUGACAUGCUUCUGCAAAGCUGUAGAAACACAGUGGAGGUUAUCAGUUGCACAGGUGGUGCAUGGUUGUCGUCAGCUCGUGUCGUGAGAUGUUGGGUUAAGUCCCGCAACGAGCGCAACCCUUAUUGUUAGUUACCAGCACGUAAUGGUGGGGACUUUAGCAAGACUGCCAGUGAUAAAUUGGAGGAAGGUGGGGACGACGUCAAAUCAUCAUGCCCCUUAUGACCUGGGCUACAAACGUGAUACAAUGGCUGUUACAAAGGGUAGCUGAAGCGCAAGUUUUUGGCGAAUCUCAAAAAAACAGUCUCAGUUCGGAUUGAAGUCUGCAACUCGACUUCAUGAAGUUGGAAUCGCUAGUAAUCGCGAAUCAGCAUGUCGCGGUGAAUACGUUCUCGGGGUUUGUACACACCGCCCGUCAAACCACGAAAGUUGGCAAUACCCAAAGCCGGUGGCCUAACUUCGCAAGAAGAGGGAACCGUCUAAGGUAGGGUCGAUGAUUGGGGUUAAG
rnacentral:rRNA from 1 species